rnacentral:rRNA from 1 species
UACAGAGGGUGCAAGCGUUGUUCGGAAUUAUUGGGCGUAAAGCGCGUGUAGGCGGCUUGGCAAGUCGGGUGUGAAAUCCCUCAGCUUAACUGAGGAAGUGCGCCCGAAACUGCUUUGCUUGAGUGCCGGAGAGGAUGGCGGAAUUCCCCAAGUAGAGGUGAAGUUCGUAGAUAUGGGGGAGGAACACCGGUGGCGAAGGCGGCCAUCUGGACGGUAACUGACGCUGAGACGCGAAAAGCGUGGGGUAGCAAAACAGGG